rnacentral:rRNA from 1 species
AUGAACUGUCACGAUACCCUUACAAAUGAACUUGCUGACAUCUUUGAAUGCAAAGUUGGCACAAUGCAUUUCACUUACCUAGGUCUUCCCUUAGGGACUGGUAAACCCUCUGUCCAAGAUCUAAUGCCGAUGGUAUGCUCUAUGGAAAGAAGAUUAUCCUCUACUCUAUCCAUGAUGUCGUAUGGGGCCAAACUUUCACUGCUAAACACUGUCAUCACCUCGCUCAUCAUCUUUGCUCUAUGCACACUCAAAUUUCCUCCAAAAAUCUUGGAACUACUGGAUAAGCUUCGGCAGAGAUGUCUUUGGACAAAAAAGACGGAGCGGGGGGAGAAAUGCAACUCUUUGGUUGCCUCGGACAGGAUUUGUCGCCCAAAAGAAAGUGGAGGCCUCGGGAUCAUCAAUUUAAAACUUCAAAGUGACGCUCUUCUCCUGAAAUAUUUGCACAAAUUCUAUAAUCAGCAUGACCUCCCCUGGGUUGAUCUCGUUUGGUCCACAUACUACACAGACAAGAUUCCGCAUGCUUCUGAUCCAUGUGGCUCUUUUUGGUGGAGGGAUGUCCUCCAACUAACUCCAAUCUAUCGUGGCAUCUCCAAAGUUGAGGUUAACCGUGGUGAUAAAAUACUCAUGUGGAAAGAUCUCUGGCUUGAUCAGCCCCUAGCAGACUCACACCCGCGGGCCUUUUUGUUUGCCAAUAAUGAGGAUGCUCAGUCCAAAAUUUUCUGCACAUCUCUUCCUUAG